UACGUAGGCAGCAAGCGUUGUUCGGAAUUACUGGGCGUAAAGAGUGUGUAGGCGGUGUUCUAAGUCUGUUGUGAAAUCUCCCGGCUUAACCGGGAGGGUGCGGCGGAAACUGGAAUGCUAGAGGAUGGGAGAGGUAAGCGGAAUUCCUGGUGUAGCGGUGAAAUGCGUAGAUAUCAGGAGGAACACCUGUGGUGUAGACAGCUUACUGGACCAUUGCUGACGCUGAGACACGAAAGCGUGGGUAGCAAACGGG
rnacentral:rRNA from 1 species